GAGAGAGAGAGAGAGAGAGUUAUUAUUGUGUUCAAUUAUUUUACUGAGGCCCAUCAAAAUUUGAUGUCCACAAAGUGAUUUAAUGACAAUUUGAGUGACCAUUAAUGAAGUUAAGCCAAAAUUUUAGAGGUUUUAUUUUUAAUUAAAAAAACAAGUGUCCAUUUGGCCUUGAGGUUGAAUUUGCUUUUUGAAAAUGCUUUGUUUUAGACGUUGCAAGAAGUAUUUGAAAUGUUUAUUUAAUUGUUGGAGUUUUUGCGGCUAAACAUGUCAAAUCUAUCUGAAAAAUCAUUUCUAAUUGCCGUAAUUGAUAUCUUAAGAUGAUGCCCUUGUUUAACAACAAUCCAAACAGAUUGAAAGUUUAGUAACUUUUAACUUUAGAUUUGUCAUGAAAAAUGCAGAAAAUCUUUUGAGUCUAGGCUUGCGAGCUACUUUUUAGCUUUGACAAGAACAAUUAAAUUGGAUCUUUGAAUAUGUAAAGGAUUUAUUUUUUUUUACUAUAAAAUAUAUGAGCGAAGCAAAAAAAUUAUGCAAAAAUAGUAGCAAUUUUUUUCUUGAUGGACUUAACAAUUUUAAUGGGUAGCUAGUAGCAGUCAUUAACUUUAUGUAGUGACAAUCAUGGUAAGCAAUUCUAAAAUCAAAGGCCAAAAGUCUACUACAUAAGUUAAUGGGUGAUAUUCAAUCCCAUGCUUUCUACUUGUUGAAAUGUCAACUAAAUCUGCAAACGCUGAUUAGAAUAUUGAAAAGUGAGGAUUCAUUGUACUUAGCCAAUGGGCUAGGUACAUGAAACCAAUGUUGCCUUACUUAGUAUUUCAUUCACUGAAAUAGGCCUUGUAGUAUUUUAGGUUUCAAAGUGACUUUUUUUUCUUGAUUCAAAUUCUUUUGUGGGUUUAAAUGCUUCAAUGUUUCUGAUACCCCAAAAACUAUUCUUCUCUUGAAAAAAUAUACUGGUUAGUUUUGUGUUCUAUGUUUUCAUAUUAAUAAACAUAGAUUUAUGAAGGAUUAUUAUAUUAUAAUUAUACCAGUAGAUGAGGCCAAGGGGUGAGAGAGAUGCUUGAUUCAAGUUUCAACUGCUAUCGAAGAGUUGAGAAAUUUUAUUAUUCUUUCAGGAAUGCUGAUGCAUCAAUAAAGGAAUGUUCUCUAUGCAAAACUACUAUGAGGAAUAUCUGGGCACCUUUUCUUAUUAAGAAUAUUUACAUUUGUUAUACAUGAGA
rnacentral:misc_RNA from 1 species